rnacentral:rRNA from 1 species
UCAGGCCUAACACAUGCAAGUCGAACGAAGCCUUCGGGCUUAGUGGCGCACGGGUGCGUAACGCGUGGGAAUCUACCCUGGGGUUCGGAAUAACACAGAGAAAUUUGUGCUAAUACCGGAUGAUAUCGAGAGAUCAAAGAUUUAUCGCCCUUGGAUGAGCCCGCGUAGGAUUAGCUUGUUGGUGGGGUAAUGGCCUACCAAGGCGACGAUCCUUAGCUGGUCUGAGAGGAUGAUCAGCCACACUGGGACUGAGACACGGCCCAGACUCCUACGGGAGGCAGCAGUGGGGAAUAUUAACGAAUGGGCGCAAGCCUGAUCUAGCCAUGCCGCGUAUAUAAGAGAGGCCUUAGGGUUGUAAAGCUCUUUCAGGUGGAAGAUAAUGA